rnacentral:rRNA from 1 species
UUGGAGUAGUAUUAUUAAUGAAAUUUAACGGAUUUGGCGGCAAGAUAGCCCCUUAGAGGAACCUGCCCUGUAAACGAUGAGCCACGAGGUACUCUACUUUUUUUGGUAAUCAGUUUGUAUAUCGCUGUUGUCAGUUAGAUUCUUGAGAAUAUUUUCGUUCAUGAUAAGUUCAUUGACUUCAAGUAAAGGUGCAGCUUAUAAAAAAGAUAGAGGUGGGUUACAUUUAUAAGAAUAAAACGGAAAGGGUAGUUGAAAUAGUCCUUGAAGGUGGAUUUAACUGUAAAACUUAAAUAGGUUUGGUGAGAGCUC